UACGGGGGGGAGCAAGCGUUGUUCGGAUUUACUGGGCGUAAAGGGCGCGUAGGCGGCCAGCGCAAGUCAGUUGUGAAAUCUCCGGGCUUAACUCGGAAAGGUCAACUGAUACUGCGCGGCUAGAGUGCAGAAGGGGCAACUGGAAUUCUCGGGUGUAGCGGUGAAAUGCGUAGAUAUCGAGAGGAACACCUGCGGCGAAGGCGGGUUGCUGGGCUGACACUGACGCUGAUGCGGCGAAAGCCAGGGGAGCGAACGGG
rnacentral:rRNA from 1 species